AGGUGGCUAUAGCGGCAGGGCUCCACCUCUUCCCAUUCCGAACAGAGAAGUUAAACCUGCCCGCGCCGAUGGUACUGCGAUACGAUGUGGGAGAGUAGGUCGCCGCCUU
rnacentral:rRNA from 1 species